rnacentral:rRNA from 1 species
UACGUAGGUGGCAAGCGUUGUCCGGAUUUAUUGGGCGUAAAGGGAGCGCAGGCGGUGACUUAAGUCUGAUGUGAAAGCCCACAGCUCAACCGUGGAAGGUCAUUGGAAACUGGGUCACUUGAAUAUAGAAGAGGAAAGUGGAAUUCCAUGUGUAGCGGUGAAAUGCGUAGAUAUAUGGAGGAACACCAGUGGCGAAGGCGACUUUCUGGUCUAUUAUUGACGCUGAGGCUCGAAAGCAUGGGUAGCAACAGGAUUAGAUA